CUAUGGUUUAUUGGAUCGUACCCGUUAAAUGGAUAACUGUAAUAACUCUAGAGCUAAUACAUGCCUCGAUGCCCUGACUCGGCCUGUUUGUUGUUGCGCAUGCUGCUGCUGCUGCUGCUGCUGCAGCGGCGUCGGCGCUGCGUCCUCAGGCAGGUGGGGGAUGGGUGCACUUAUUAGAUCAGAAGCCAACCAAUUGCACGUGUGUGUAUGUGUGCGGUCGCGAGGCCGUGUGCGGGCGCGUGCAUUGAGACGAGACUUCUGGUGACUCUGGAUAAUUGUUACAGAUCGCAGUCGGCCUUGAGUCGGCGACGGGUCCUUCAAAUGUCUGCCCUAUCAACUGUCGAUGGUAGGUGAUCUGCCUACCAUGGUGAUAACGGGUAACGGGGAAUCAGGGUUCGAUUCCGGAGAGGGAGCCUGAGAAAUGGCUACCACUUCCAAGGGAGGCAGCAGGCGCGCAACUUACCCACUCCCAGCACGGGGAGGUGGUGACGAAAAAUACCGAUGCGGGACUCCUUCAAGAGGCUCCGUAAUCGGAAUGAGUGGACUCUAAAUCCUUUCACGAGGAUCAAUUGGAGGGCAAGUCUGGUGCCAGCAGCCGCGGUAACUCCAGCUCCAAUAGCGUAUAUUAAAGUUGCUGCAGUUAAAAAGCUCGUAGUUGGAUCUCGGUGGCGUUGUUGCCUGUUGGUAAUUGAGCGGUCGGUGUGUGGCUAACGGCGUGUCACUCUAGCCGCCUCUGCGUGUGUGUGUGUGGGCCGUGGUGGGUGGAUUGGUGGAUUGGUGAGUGUGGGUGAUGAGGGCUGCUGGGUGGAUGGAUGGAUGGAUGGAUGGAUGGAUGGAGGGAGGGAUGGGCGGCCAGCUUCUUCUUCGGCGGCUCUGUGGUCGGCGGGGAGAGGGUGGGGUCUGCUCCCUUCUCUCCUCCUCCUCCUCCUCCUUCUUCUUCUUCGCCUGGUGGCAGUCUGCUGCCCGACCACUGACUACUCCACUGGUUGGCUCAUGCGCUCGCCGACAUGCGGUGGGUGGUGUGCGCAGUGGUGGCGUCGUCGUGGCCAUGAAUAAGCACUGUCGUGUCAAGCUGGCAAGGCGAUGGUGUCACCUUUAAGCCAUGUCUGCAGUGUGACGGCUGCAGGUGUGGACGGGUGGUGGGCGGUGCUCUGCACACGUUGUGGGGCCUGUCGGCUCGUCUGCAUGCCUUUGGAUGCCCUUCAAAAGGUGUCUGCGGGCGGAUGGCACGUUUACUUUGAACAAAUUUGAGUGCUCAAGUCAGGCCGAUGUUGCCUGAAAAGUUUUGCAUGGAAUAAUGGAAUAGGACUUCGGUUCUAUUUCGUUGGUUUUCGGAUCCGAAGUAAUGAUCAAAAGAGACAGGCGGGGACGUUUGUAUGGCUGCGCUAGAGGUGAAAUUCAUGGACCGUAGCCAGACAAACUAAAGCGAAAGCAUUCGUCAAGCAUGUUUUCAUUGGCCAUGAGCGAAAGUCAGAGGCUCGAAGACGAUCAGAUACCGUCCUAGUUCUGACCAUAAACGAUGCCAACUGACGAUCCGUGGUGGUAGUUGUGUUACCUUCCCCACGGGCAGUCCCCGGGAAACCUUUAAGUGUUUGGGUUCCGGGGGAAGUAUGGUUGCAAAGCUGAAACUUAAAGGAAUUGACGGAAGGGCACCACCAGGAGUGGAGCCUGCGGCUUAAUUUGACUCAACACGGGAAAACUCACCCGGGCCGGACACUAUGAGGAUUGACAGAUUGAGAGCUCUUUCUUGAUUUGGUGGUUGGUGGUGCAUGGCCGUUCUUAGUUGGUGGAGCGAUUUGUCUGGUUAAUUCCGAUAACGAACGAGACUCCAGCCUGCUAAUUAGUGCGUUUGUCCACUGCAUCUGUGAAGGUGGCGUUGGAUGAUACCACCUGCCACGGGUGGCUAGCUUCGGCGUCUCUGCUCUUGUGUUCUCCUCUCUCUCUCCCUCUCGCCCUCACUCUCUCCCUCCUUCCCUCUCUCUCUCUCUCUCUCUCUGUCUGCCUGCCUGCCUGCCUGUCCUCUUCUUCUCCUCCUCCUCAUCCUCCUGCGCCUCCUCAUUCGGGGUUGGCGUGGUUGUGAUGGGUGGUGGGUUGGGGUUGGUGGGUGGGUAGGUGGGUGGGUGGGUGGAUGGAUGGAUGGAUGGAUGGAUGGGUAGUGGGUGGUGGGUGGUAGGUGGUGGGUUGCUGUGGGAGUGAGUGGGGGCGUGUGAAGCAUUGGGGCUCGUGGCUGGUUAGUCUGGCGCUGGCCUCCGGGUGUGGCGCGAAUGCCUACUUCUUAGAGGGACAAGCGGGAGAAGCCGCACGAAAUAGAGCAAUAACAGGUCUGUGAUGCCCUUAGAUGUCCGGGGCCGCACGCGCGCUACAAUGACGGUGUCAACGAGUCAGACCUUCUGGCCCGAGAGGGUUGGGCAAACUGGUCAAUCACCGUCGUGACAGGGAUCGGGGCUUGGAAUUGUUCCCCGUGAACGAGGAAUUCCUAGUAAGUGCAAGUCAUAAGCUUGCGCUGAUUACGUCCCUGCCCUUUGUACACACCGCCCGUCGCUACUACCGAUUGAAUGGUUUAGUAAGGUCCUUGGAUUGGCGUCGUUGCGGCGGUGACCGAAAGGGCGCUGCCCGAGAGGCGCUGAGAAGACGACCAAACUUGAUCAUUUAGA
rnacentral:rRNA from 1 species